rnacentral:rRNA from 1 species
UACGUAGGGUGCAAGCGUUGUCCGGAAUUAUUGGGCGUAAAGAGCUCGUAGGCGGCCUGUCACGUCGGCUGUGAAAACCCGGGGCUCAACCCCGGGCCUGCAGUCGAUACGGGCAGGCUAGAGUUCGGCAGGGGAGACUGGAAUUCCUGGUGUAGCGGUGAAAUGCGCAGAUAUCAGGAGGAACACCGGUGGCGAAGGCGGGUCUCUGGGACGGUACUGACGCUGAGACGCGAAAGCGUGGGGAGCGAACAGG